CUUUUCGAGUUUGUAAACAUCUGUGCUAGUUGUACCAUACUGUCAUGCAGACAGAGAAAGCGUUGUGGACAGACGAAAAUAAAGCAGCGAUCGAAUGUUAUGAAAAUGCACUUUGCCCUUAGCAGAACCAACACGGAAAGCAUCGACGAUGUUUAUAAAUACACAGCUAGAAAACUUACUGCCUGCUUUCCGUUGUAGGAACGUCCUCUUUUCUAAGAGCGUGGUAACUCCACGCUGAAGGGCCCGAAAUGUUUCCCUGGGCUAUCGGAUCUGCCCGUUUAAUUCCUUUCACUUUUGUUUACGCGCUGAAUAAACACUGCUCUGCGGCAGCAGACCUGAGCCGUCAGAUGGAAUCGGGGGCCGGCGGGGGGCCGCCGUAGCGUCUCGCGCAGCCGCUUCAGUCGCCGCCGGACAUUCUCCUUCAUCUCAGUCAUACCACUGAAUGCCAAGCGCAACUCAGGGCAGGAAUCGGAAGUACUCGUUGCAGCGAAUGAAAACUUCCCUCCCUUACACGCCAACAAAUGCUUUUUAGAGAAAAGCUAUAUUCGCUGCCUUGGGAUGACAUCCCUUCUCUUUCCAACGUUGAAGGCUGUACUUUGGUAAGCGCAUGCACGGUGUGAUCCUUAGUCCCGUCUUCUCACACGAACCAUACUCUGAGCACAACAGAACUCUUGAAGUGUGCUUGCUUUUGCUUGACAUUUAGUCAGGGAUUUCUAAGUUGCUAAUUAUUCACAGAUUUCUUUCUUUCUUUCUUUCUUUUUUUUUUUUUUCCCCCAAAGCUCAACUGCAGAUGUUCAGGGGUCUUUGCCUCAAGUAGUGCUUAGCUUGGUAAAAACAGGAAUCAGAUAAGAGUGCUACCUCUGAGGCUAAGAAAGGCUCUCAGACUGUGGUGGGACUUUCUGGUAAGGUGUCACUACAAGGAACUGUUCCUUGCAAUGGAAUUAAAGGACAGAUUCACUUCUUUUCACAGUGUAAGCUUUCAUAAUUUUCCCCAGCUAGUUUCUUACUUUGUAGACUGAUAGAGUGUUCAGUGUAUGUGUAUUAAAAUGAAAAUGGCUGUCAAAAAAAGCACAUUUGGGCCUCCCUAGCUGGAGAUGUUUUGUUUACUGAAUUGACAAGCUGGGAAGGAAGCUCAUGGAAAAGGUGAUUAAUUUGUACCAGAUCUGAAAACCACAGAGAGUCUCCAGCAACGGGAUCCCAGUUUCCUACCCAUGGGUUACAAUUGCCAGAAUAUUUGCAAGUAUGUAAAAACAAGGAAUCGAGGUUCA
rnacentral:lncRNA from 1 species